UACGGAGGGUGCAAGCGUUGUCCGGAAUUAUUGGGCGUAAAGAGCUCGUAGGCGGUCUGUCGCGUCGGCUGUGAAAACUCGGGGCUCAACCCCGAGCCUGCAGUCGAUACGGGCAGACUAGAGUGCGGUAGGGGAGACUGGAAUUCCUGGUGUAGCGGUGAAAUGCGCAGAUAUCAGGAGGAACACCGAUGGCGAAGGCAGGUCUCUGGGCCACUACUGACGCUGAGGAGCGAAAGCAUGGGGAGCGAACAGG
rnacentral:rRNA from 1 species